AAUAUUGCACAAUGGGGGAAACCCUGAUGCAGCCAUGCCGCGUGUGUGAAGAAGGNCUNNGGGUUNUNAAGCCCUUUAAGCAGNNNNNAAGGCUUGAUGUUUAAUACACAUCACGAUUUACGUUAGCUGCAGAAUAAGCACCGGCUAACUCCGUGCCAGCAGCCGCGGUAAUACGGAGGGUGCAAGCGUUAAUCGGAAUUACUGGGCGUAAAGCGCGCGUAGGCGGCUGUGUAAGCUAGAUGUGAAAGCCCCGGGCUUAACCUGGGAACUGCAUUUAGAACUGCAUAGCCAGAGUACAGAAGAGGGGUGUGGAAUUUCAGGUGUAGCGGUGAAAUGCGUAGAGAUCUGAAGGAACAUCAGUGGCGAAGGCGACACCCUGGUCUGAUACUGACGCUGAGGUGCGAAAGCGUGGGGAGCAAAC
rnacentral:rRNA from 1 species